rnacentral:rRNA from 1 species
GACGAACGCUGGCGGCGUGCUUAACACAUGCAAGUCGAACGGAAAGGUCCUGCCUUUGUGGGGUGCUCGAGUGGCGAACGGGUGAGUUACACGUGAGUUACCUGCCCUUCACCUUGGGAUAACCUCAUGCAACUGGGUCUAAUACCGGAUAGGAGUUCCCGCCGUAUGGUGGGGGUUGGAAAGUUUCGGUGGUUGGUGAUGGACUCGCGUCUUAUCAGCUUGUUCGUGGGGUAGUGGCUUACCAAGGCCUUGACCGGUAGCCUGCCUGGGAGGGGGACCGGCUCCAUUAGGACUGGGAUGCGGCCCAGACUCCUACGGGAGGCAGCGGUGGAGAGUAUAGCACAGUAGGAGGAAGGCUGAUGCGGCAACGCAGCGUGCGGGAUGACGGCAAUCGCUUUGUAUUCCGCUUUCGCCUGAGACGAAACGUGAGUGACGGUAAUGGGUAAAGAAGCACCGGCUAACUACGUG